rnacentral:rRNA from 1 species
GACUCUCGGCAACGGAUAUCUAGGCUCUCGCAUCGAUGAAGAACGUAGCAAAAUGCGAUACUUGGUGUGAAUUGCGGAAUCCCGUGAACCGUCGAGUCUUUGAACGCAAGUUGCGCCUGGAGCUGAGAGGCCGAGGGCAUGCCUGCCUGGG